UUAGCCCCCAAGGGCUCCCCUGGGGGCACUGCCCAGGAGACAGGGGAAGGAGACUAGACCAGGGCCCCCAAACCUGCCACUUGUCAGGGCUCUCCAAGUGGAAAAAGCCAGGGGGACUGGGAGGAGGAGGGGCAGUGCUGUGGGAGACCAGGAUCCUUCCUCCCAGGCUGGACUCUUGAAGAAGCACGUGGGCAGUCUGAGUCCACCCACUUUUUGGCCUCAGUCUUCCCAUCUAUUCAAGGGAACUGUGUGGGUGGGAGAGGCAAAACCAAGCAACAGGCAGGAAGGUCUCAAACCUCAGCCUGCCAUGUGUCAGAGUCGCCAGGCUGCAUGUGGGUCCUGACCGUCCAGAAUCCUUCUGCUCAGGGUGUGUGCCUGGAGUUCGGGGUGUUUAGGCUUCAGACAAGUUGCUGUUGAUGUCAGGAGGUCCUCCCUGCUACCCGCCUUCCUGCUCUGCCUUUAGCCAUGGAUGGCACACUUGGGAUUGCUGGGGGAAAGGCAACAGAAAUGCACCCUGGGAUGCACUGUGGGUCGCACCUUCCUUCCAGAAGAGGCCUCUUGACCUGAUACAGUAAUCCCUGCAUUUCUCUGAGUUUCACAGCUCCCCUCACAAGCCUUAAUGAUGGGCUUUUGUUUGUUGUUUGGGAGCUUUUUGUUUUUGCUAGCGUCCACAGGGUGGUCUCCCUCUCUUUUCCAAACUCCAGAUCUCUUUCCUUCUAUGGACAUGCUUCCUGAAAUCUAGCCUAAGUCCUUCAAGUUGCAGCCCCAACCCUUUCCCUAGGUCUUCUGCCAUUGGCCACAUCCACUCCUUGAAUACUACACCUUUUCAGGGACCUGAAGUGCUAAUUAAGCCCUCUCAAGCCCAUGCUUCUCCAGCCUCCUUCUCCAGGCCACCAUUUCAGUUCUCACUUCUCUCCUGCAUUCCAUAGCCAACCCCUCCCUUCUCCCCACCACCUCAAAUCCAGCUCCCAGCUGGCUGACACCCACGGGAGGGUUUUUCCCAUAAUCCCUUUCUCUCUGCCCUUUCAAGGUUCUGAUGGGGGGAGGGGAUGAAGAGGGACCACGCAAAUGCACUGUCUCCAUGAAAAUGGUGGCAACGCCUAUAAUAAACUUGGAUGAAGGGAGAAAA